rnacentral:lncRNA from 1 species
UGAUAAGCUGUGGUACUGAGUGAGAGGCUUUGUUGGCAGUGUCUCAUCUUUUGUGCUAGUAGAGAUGCUAUUACAUUACUCUUACAAGAAACAGGGGAAGUUUGUAUGAACAAUGAACCCCAGAGUCUGAUGAUUCAGAAGACCAACGACGCUUCUGAUUGGAAAGUUCUACUGCAGACUGUAAAGUAGGAAGCUUGAAGGCAGAAGAAAGAAAAUCUAAAAUGAAUAAUUUGGAACAAGGAAGUGCCAUGUGAUACAAUAAAGUGAAACUGAGAAUCUAUUUAAAUAUUUCCUUUUGAAAUUAAAAAUUAUAUAAUAUCAAAAGUUGAGUUAUAAAAUACAUUUUG